UACAGGCUUAACACAUGCAAGUCGAGGGGCAGCAUGGUCUUAGCUUGCUAAGGCCGAUGGCGACCGGCGCACGGGUGAGUAACACGUAUCCAACCUGCCGUCUACUCUUGGACAGCCUUCUGAAAGGAAGAUUAAUACAAGAUGGCAUCAUGAGUCCGCAUGUUCACAUGAUUAAAGGUAUUCCGGUAGACGAUGGGGAUGCGUUCCAUUAGAUAGUAGGCGGGGUAACGGCCCACCUAGUCUUCGAUGGAUAGGGGUUCUGAGAGGAAGGUCCCCCACAUUGGAACUGAGACACGGUCCAAACUCCUACGGGAGGCAGCAGUGAGGAAUAUUGGUCAAUGGGCGAGAGCCUGAACCAGCCAAGUAGCGUGAAGGAUGACUGCCCUAUGGGUUGUAAACUUCUUUUAUAAAGGAAUAAAGUCGGGUAUGGAUACCCGUUUGCAUGUACUUUAUGAAUAAGGAUCGGCUAACUCCGUGCCAGCAGCCGCGGUAAUACGGAGGAUCCGAGCGUUAUCCGGAUUUAUUGGGUUUAAAGGGAGCGUAGAUGGAUGUUUAAGUCAGUUGUGAAAGUUUGCGGCUCAACCGUAAAAUUGCAGUUGAUACUGGAUAUCUUGAGUGCAGUUGAGGCAGGCGGAAUUCGUGGUGUAGCGGUGAAAUGCUUAGAUAUCACGAAGAACUCCGAUUGCGAAGGCAGCCUGCUAAGCUGCAACUGACAUUGAGGCUCGAAAGUGUGGGUAUCAAACAGGAUUAGAUACCCUGGUAGUCCACACGGUAAACGAUGAAUACUCGCUGUUUGCGAUAUACAGCAAGCGGCCAAGCGAAAGCGUUAAGUAUUCCACCUGGGGAGUACGCCGGCAACGGUGAAACUCAAAGGAAUUGACGGGGGCCCGCACAAGCGGAGGAACAUGUGGUUUAAUUCGAUGAUACGCGAGGAACCUUACCCGGGCUUAAAUUGCAGAUGAAUUACGGUGAAAGCCGUAAGCCGCAAGGCAUCUGUGAAGGUGCUGCAUGGUUGUCGUCAGCUCGUGCCGUGAGGUGUCGGCUUAAGUGCCAUAACGAGCGCAACCCUUGUUGUCAGUUACUAACAGGUUCCGCUGAGGACUCUGACAAGACUGCCAUCGUAAGAUGUGAGGAAGGUGGGGAUGACGUCAAAUCAGCACGGCCCUUACGUCCGGGGCUACACACGUGUUACAAUGGGGGGUACAGAGGGCCGCUACCACGCGAGUGGAUGCCAAUCCCCAAAACCUCUCUCAGUUCGGACUGGAGUCUGCAACCCGACUCCACGAAGCUGGAUUCGCUAGUAAUCGCGCAUCAGCCACGGCGCGGUGAAUACGUUCCCGGGCCUUGUACACACCGCCCGUCAAGCCAUGGGAGCCGGGGGUACCUGAAGUGCGUAACCGCGAGGAGCGCCCUAGGGUAAAACUGGUGACUGGGG
rnacentral:rRNA from 1 species